rnacentral:tRNA from 1 species
UGGGGUUUUGGCUCAAUGGUAGAGUGCUCACCUAGCAUGCAGGAGGCUCUGAGUUUGAUCCUCAGCACCACAU